AGUGAGGUCACAUUUUAUUUAGAGUUAUAUAUAUAUGUGUGUGUGUGUAUGUGUGUGCACAUAUACACACAGACACAGACACACACAUAUA
rnacentral:miRNA from 1 species